rnacentral:rRNA from 1 species
CACGUAGUUAGCCGGAGCUUAUUCUACAGGUACUGUCUUUUUUCUUCCCUGUCUAAAAUAGUUUACAAUCCGAAAACCUUCUUCCUAUACGCGGUGUCACUGCAUCAGAGUUUCCUCCAUUGUGCAAUAUUCCCGACUGCUGCCUCCCGUAGGAGUCUGGGCCGUAUCUCAGCCCCAAUGUGGCCGUUGAGCCUCUCAGCUCGGCUACCGAUCGUUGCCUUGGUAGGCCUUUACCCCACCAACUAGCUAAUCGGACGCAAGCCCAUCUAUUAGCGGAUUUCUCCUUUUCUGACUAUACCAUGCGGUAUUGUCAGCUUAUGCGGUAUUAGCAGUGAUUUCUCACUGUUACUUCCCCUCUAAUAGGCAGGUUGCUUACGUGUUACUCACCAGUCCCGCCACUAAAAUCAUUGUUAUUAACUUAUUUCAGUAUAAAUCUUUAUUUACCAUUUAAUAACGUAUUUCCGUUCGUACUUGCAUUGUCUUAUGUGCACCGCCAGCGUUAU